CGCGGCCUAUCAGCUUGUUGGUGGGGUAAUGGCUCACCAAGGCGACGACGGGUAGCCGGCCUGAGAGGGUGACCGGCCACACUGGGACUGAGACACGGCCCAGACUCCUACGGGAGGCAGCAGUGGGGAAUAUUGCACAAUGGGCGCAAGCCUGAUGCAGCGACGCCGCGUGAGGGAUGACGGCCUUCGGGUUGUAAACCUCUUUCAGUAGGGAAGAAGCGAAAGUGACGGUACCUGCAGAAGAAGCGCCGGCUAACUACGUGCCAGCAGCCGCGGUAAUGCGUAGGGCGCAAGCGUUAUCCGGAAUUAUUGGGCGUAAAGAGCUCGUAGGUGGUUUGCCGCGUCUGCCGUGAAAGUCCGGGGCUCAACUCCGGAUCUGCGGUGGGUACGGGCAGGCUAGAGUGAUGUAGGGGAGACUGGAAUUCCUGGUGUAGCGGUGAAAUGCGCAGAUAUCAGGAGGAACACCGAUGGCGAAGGCAGGUCUCUGGGCAUUAACUGACGCUGAGGAGCGAAAGCAUGGGGAGCGAACAGGAUUAGAUACCCUGGUAGUCCACACCGUAAACGUUGGGCGCUAGGUGUGGGGCCUAUUCCAUGGGUUCCGUGCCGCAGCUAACGCAUUAAGCGCCCCGCCUGGGGAGUACGG
rnacentral:rRNA from 1 species